rnacentral:rRNA from 1 species
GACGGGGGGGGCAAGUGUUCUUCGGAAUGACUGGGCGUAAAGCGUGCGCAGGCGGUUCGUUAAGUCUGCUGUGAAAGCCCCGGGCUCAACUUGGGAAUUGCAAUGGAUACUGGCAGGCUGGAGUAUGGUAGAGGAAGGUGGAAUUCCCGGUGUAGCAGUGAAAUGCGUAGAGAUCGGGAGGAACACCAGUGGCGAAGGCGGCCUUCUGGACCAAUACUGACGCUCAUGCACGAAAGCGUGGGGAGCAAACAGG